rnacentral:rRNA from 1 species
UACGUAGGGGGCAAGCGUUGUCCGGAUUUAUUGGGCGUAAAGAGCGUGUAGGCGGUUAUACAGGUCCGCUGUGAAAACUGGAGGCUUAACCUCCAGACGUCGGUGGAAACCGUAUGACUAGAGUCCGGAAGAGGAGAAUGGAAUUCCUGGUGUAGCGGUGAAAUGCGCAGAUAUCAGGAAGAACACCCGUGGCGAAGGCGGCUCUCUGGGACGGUACUGACGCUGAGACGCGAAAGCGUGGGGAGCGAACAGG